GUCAUCAAGGCCAGAAUGCAGUGGAACAAUGACAGCUCACUGUCACCUUGAACUCCUGGGCUUAUGUGAUUUUCCCACUUCAGCCUCCCAAGUAGCUGAGACUACAGGUGCAUGCCACU